GGUUAGCUGUAUGAUAGAUGUAUACCCACAAUACACGCACCCUUAACCGCUCGUUCCUGCCUCCCUCAUCUCCCCCUACCCACGCUCUCAUCCGCGCCCCAUACUAUCGCAUAUAAAAACACCACUUAAACACCCCUUAUACCAGCCCUGACCCACACGCCUCCCCUGCCCAUCACUCCUUAUAAAAACUCUGCAUAUACCCCAUACUAUCGCGCCACUCCUUAAUCUCCUCUUCCCGCACGCUACCUGCUGCUCAUCCGGAACUAGUUUUGAGCGCGGAUGUUUACUGGGUACGCGCCGCCGCCCGCCCGCCAGUCACGUGUCAUUCAGUACACAGAGGGUCGUGAGUCUUGGUGCUGAGGUGCGCUGGCCAGGUGUGUUGGCUAGGAGGUACGUGACCGGUCCGUGGACGUGGCAAGGACGGUGUUGCUCUCGGAAUAUAAGUUUGAAGGUGACCAGAUUCUACCGAACAGCGGACGAUACUGGAGAGAGAGAAGAGAAAGAGAAGAGAAGAGAAGAGAAGAGAAGAGAGAGAGAGCAGGUGUGACAUUCCCUCUAGAUCAGGUCACGAGGUCCUCCAGAAAAGCGACACCAGGAGCCGCGUGGAAGGGAACGAGUGGCCAGUGUGAGAACCAAGACACCUUUCCCGAGGGUGACCAGCAGGGCGAGGGAGGGAGCGACGUGUGCUGUGGCUGAAAAGCCAGACGUUAAUGACAACUGUGAUGGAUCGAGUCGCGGCUCCACGUGUGACCCCCGCCAGGCCGCCGCUGCCACCCUCCCGCGACCUCUCAGGGAAAGAUUCACGGUGACGCAACACGCAAAAAUGGACGAGAAGGCGAUGCACGUAAGGACAAAACUAAAUUAUAAGUCUUAACGAAUGAUGGAAUGUCUUAAAUAAAAGGGAGUUGUGUUUUUUCUUACUCCUGUGACGCCGGCGUGAUGAGCUUGAUGCCGUGAGUCAAGAUUAGCGUCAGGGCGUGUGAAAGUUUUCUCUGUGGAGUCUCCAAAGGUUUAGCAAGCAUGAUUUUUCACGCUUACUCGUUCAGUUAGAAGGCGAACCGUUUUCUUUCUCUUUUUUUUUCUCUACCUUCGCAGUUCUUAAUGGUGAUGAAUAGGAUGUGGAAGAGUGAUGGUGGAGGCGGAAGAGGUGUGAUUAGUAGUGCUUUCUGCCACAAGUGGAUUAUUAGUGGUGAAAAAUUGUCACCUUUCCCUAACUGAAUAACACGCUGCAAGAGACACGAAGCCGCUAGUAUUCCCUGCCAUGCAUUAUGUAACCCUAGUAAUUAUGCCUUUUCCAGGAGUACAUUUCUCGCGUUCUGUUUCUUCUUAGUGGGACGGGACUGUAACUUGAGCUUAAUCUUACCUGCAGGAUAGAACACCUUAUAUAACAAUCCCUUCCUCUUUAUAUUUAUCAUUUUAAUUGUUUAUAGUUUGGUGGUAUAUGGUGCUACGGUUCUAUGCAUUGUGUUGUGUAUUGAUAACUUGCUGUAUGAAUUAUCAGCCUGGCUUGGUGUAUGUAUGACUUUUGUAACUGUUUGUGUUACGUGGCAGUGACAGGUGGUGGUUUAUCAUGGUGUUGGUGUUGCUGGUGUUGUGUUGUGCAGUGCGAUGUGUGUUGACAUGUGACAAUGUGGUGUUGUACAAUGUGUGUGGUGUGAGGUGUCGCUGUAUCGGCGUUACCACUAAUGUUUGUAUUCAUGAAGAUGUAGCGACGAGAGUUACCAAAUCUUGUGAUGUAACCUGGUGUCAUUAACACAUCAUUUAGCCCUAAUGAACAUUCCUCCCCCAGAGACUGAAAUAAAUUUUUUGCUGGUAAUUCCAACGUCCCAGCGCAUACAUCGUCUGGGAAUUAUGCAAUCGCUGCCUCUACUGCUGCUUCUGCUUCUCCUGCGGGGCACAUACCGGCUGUUACUGACAAGACACAGCUCUUAUACGUGAUGAAGUUGAGAAUGGAGAAAAUAUCAGCGCAGUUUGAUUGCAGCCACAGGGACAGGAUGGCUGGGGAUCAAAAAGACAAGGUAGGGGGAGGGGAGAGUAGAGGUGGGACGCUUCCUAUAUUUGGGCGAUCUGGGGCCUGCCGCUGUACUCCUCUGUAUGCUGCCAGACCAGCCUCCCGCGUGGGCUGAGAAUACUGACCAAGGACAUGUUGGA